rnacentral:rRNA from 1 species
GGGGAAUCUUGCACAAUGGGCGGAAGCCUGAUGCAGCAACGCCGCGUGCGGGAUGACGGCCUUCGGGUUGUAAACCGCUUUCGCCUGUGACGAAGCGUGAGUGACGGUAAUGGGUAAAGAAGCACCGGCUAACUACGUGCCAGCAGCCGCGGUGAUACGUAGGGUGCGAGCGUUGUCCGGAUUUAUUGGGCGUAAAGGGCUCGUAGGUGGUUGAUCGCGUCGGAAGUGUAAUCUUGGGGCUUAACCCUGAGCGUGCUUUCGAUACGGGUUGACUUGAGGAAGGUAGGGGAGAAUGGAAUUCCUGGUGGAGCGGUGGAAUGCGCAGAUAUCAGGAGGAACACCAGUGGCGAAGGCGGUUCUCUGGGCCUUUCCUGACGCUGAGGAGCGAAAGCGUGGGGAGCGAACAGGCUUAGAUACCCUGGUAGUCCACGCUGUAAACGGUGGGUACUAGGUGUGGGGUCCAUUCCACGGGUUCCGUGCCGUAGCUAACGCUUUAAGUACCCCGCCUGGGGAGUACGGCCGCAAGGCUAAAACUCAAAGGAAUUGACGGGGCCCCGCACAAGCGGCGGAGCAUGCGGAUUAAUUCGAUGCAACGCGUAAAACCUACCUGGGUUUGACAUGGAUCGGRAGUGCUCAAAAAUGGGUGUGCCUCUUUUGGGGUCGGUUCACACGUGGUGCAUGGCUGUCCUCAGCUCGUGUCGUGANAUGUUGGGUUAAGUCCCGCAACGAGCGCAACCCUUGUUCACUG